rnacentral:rRNA from 1 species
CCGCCUGGGGAGUACGGCCGCAAGGUUAAAACUCAAAUGAAUUGACGGGGGCCCGCACAAGCGGUGGAGCAUGUGGUUUAAUUCGAUGCAACGCGAAGAACCUUACCUGGUCUUGACAUCCACGGAAGUUUUCAGAGAUGAGUAUGUGCCUUCGGGAACCGUGAGACAGGUGCUGCAUGGCUGUCGUCAGCUCGUGUUGUGAAAUGUUGGGUUAAGUCCCGCAACGAGCGCAACCCUUAUCCUUUGUUGCCAGCGGUCCGGCCGGGAACUCAAAGGAGACUGCCAGUGAUAAACUGGAGGAAGGUGGGGAUGACGUCAAGUCAUCAUGGCCCUUACGACCAGGGCUACACACGUGCUACAAUGGCGCAUACAAAGAGAAGCGACCUCGCGAGAGCAAGCGGACCUCAUAAAGUGCGUCGUAGUCCGGAUUGGAGUCUGCAACUCGACUCCAUGAAGUCGGAAUCGCUAGUAAUCGUGGAUCAGAAU